GGAGAGGCCAAGAGUGAGAGUUCUAGCUGACAUCAGCCACCAGACAUCACUGGCCACUCCAGAAAGGACCACUCACAUAUGGUCUACAUUAUCGAUGGGGCUGUGAACGAUGCUGCUUGGAGCCGUGCAACAAGCCACCUGUCAACACCCUGCAGGAGGGGAGCUGCAUGAGGCAUGACAAAGAAGACAAAGUAAGCUCUGGACACCUAGACAAAGACCACAGAAACAACAGAGGUGUUGUGGCAACAUGAGAAGAGCACUGGCCUGAGAGUCAUUCUUGCAGGAUCUUCAGGAUGUUUUAUUAAACAAAAAAGCAAGGUGCAAAACAGUGUGUAUAGGAUCCUAUCUCCCGGGCUGGCCCCGUGGCCGAGUGGUUAAGUUCGCGCGCUCCGCUGCAGACGGCCCAGUGUUUCGUCGGUUCGAAUCCUGGGCGCGGACAUGGCACUGCUCGUCAGACCACGCUGAGGCAGCGUCCCACAUGCCACAACUAGAGGAACCCACAACGAAGAAUACACAACUAUGUACCGGGGGGCUUUGGGGAGAAAAAGGAAAAAAUAAAAUCUUUAAAAAAAAAAAAAAAAAAAGAUCCUAUCUCCAAAUACAGUCACAUUCUGAGAUACUG
rnacentral:lncRNA from 1 species